rnacentral:lncRNA from 1 species
GGGGGGGUUACCGUUUGUAAAAUAUAAAUGGAAUCAAAAGGAGGUGUUUUCCCAAUCAUAUCGAUGUGACUGGCCCACUGGAUUGUACUCCGAACCCGCGUUUAUGGACAUGAGGCACCCGCAUUUAUGGAUAUGAGGUACCUUAUCGACUGAAAGCAGUGAAGGGUUGAGUAAGGUAGGCUGUUUUUUUUUCUGAUACAAAUUUCAGACUGUGAAAGCACCACUUAUUUAAUGUGUUU